rnacentral:rRNA from 1 species
GGCGUAAACCUGCGAAAACCCAAAAGAUCGAAUGGAGAGAUUCAUCGACGACGAUACUGGCUCCCGAUGGCGCGCGAUGCCCCGGUGGUACCCUCGCGGUUCCACAGCGAGCGGCACACCGCCAUCGGCGAACGUUCCGGUGAUGUAGUCGUGCACUUCUCCCCUUGUAGAACGUCGCGACCCGUUGCGCGUCGGUCUACGGCCCGAGUGGGCGCCUGCGGCGUCGCAAUCCUGCGUACGCCGCAGACCCUCGGUCGCCCGGCCGGCUGCGCGACGGUACUCGUACGGUAUCGGGCCGCAACCAAUCCAUUCUCGAAUGUGUGUGCGUCUAGCCCGCCGCAAGCUCGGUCAGAUUACCCGGUGGUACGGACUUUGCGCCGGCGCCGGGCCUGGCCAGCUGUUAGCAGGCGGUGUCCUCGGACUGGCCAAGCUUCGAAUUACCGGUCGGCGACGCUACUGCUUUGGGUACUCUCAGGACCCGUCUUGAAACACGGACCAAGGAGUCUAACAUGUGCGCGAGUCAUUGGGAUUUAUUAAACCUAAAGGCGAAAUGAAAGUGAAAGUCGGCCUUCGCGUCGACCAAGGGAGGAUGGGCCGCGUACCCAUGCGGCCUCGCACUCCCGGGGCGUCUCGCUCUCAUCGCGAGAAGAGGCGCACCUAGAGCGUACACGUU